AUAAAUAUUUUAGAUAGUAAAAUACAGUACAUGACGUGGUAAAUAUGUUAGUAUAUAUAAAUUGUUGUUUUAAAUAUAACGGUACACGUCAAACGGCACUCUUCAUUCGUUAAUCUCUCUGUAACCUGUAGACUCUGUAAUUCUCAAGGAGAAGUUGAGUUCGAAGGCGCUUCUUUUCGAAUCUUUUUGUGUCUCUCAGGCAACAGCAGAGGAUUUGGCAAGGAAUAGAGGACAAGUUCUCUCUAUUUAUCGCUAGAUAUUGCGGAGCAUCAACUCCCCAAAGCUGCCACUCGCUUUUGAAGCAAGAUUGGCUAAGAAAGCAGAGGUUCGUGCUAUCUUCAUGUUGGCUUCUGAAGAGACAUCCCUACAUAACAUUGAUGACCUAAUUGACACUACUGAGUACUCUCUUUCCCUUCUAAGAAAAGGUGAAAUUCUCAAAUACAUACAAUGAGGUAAACUGGUUUGUUGGAGUAAAUCAUAUCUUGAGGGGUCAAGGUAUGGUAGAGCAAGACUUGCAUCUUAUGGUGUGAAGACAAUACUGGGGGGCUGAUUUGUAUUCAAUGUCAAAGACUGCGUUUUCUUCAUAAGAUGCGCUGCAAAGAAUUUGUAUCUAUGAAAAAAAUUGGGAUAUUGUUAUUAAUAAACCUGAUUAUGGAAAGGUUUCUGAAAGUUGCGCUUGAACUCUUGAAGCAAUUUUUGAUCGUGAUAAUGAAGUUGGAAUCAAGUUUUAUCAAAUUUCUGUUAAAUCAGGCUACCAUUUGACGCAACAAAUUUCCAGAGUUAGUGACAGGACGGAAUGAUCUACCGGGGUGUUUGGGAGCCGCAUCUGGUCAAAGAUUUGGAGGCUCCAUUUACCCAAAAAAAAAAGGUCAAAGUCUUUAUGUGGUGGGCAUGUAAGAAUAUUUUGCCAACCCAUGUGAAUUCAAUAACGCAAAGAGUAAUUUCAGAGGACACCUGUGAAGCAUGUAAACAAUUCCUUAGAAAACUCUUCAUCUUCUUUGGGAAUGCGGUGUUGCAUGGAGUGUAUGGGCUGGCUGCUCUGUUCAGCUGCAGAAAUGUGUUCAAGGUCAGGAGGAUAUGAUUCACCUUAUGGGUGAGAUGUUGGAUCGACUAGCAGUGGAUGAAUUUGAGCUUUUUCUGGUGCAAGUAUGGUUAUUUGGCGUCAAAGAAAUGUGGUGGUUUAUGGUGGGCAGCUCCAAGAGCUCAGUGCUUUGAAUCACUUUGCUAGGGACAUCUUAGAGGAGUAUCGACAGACCAAAUGCAAAUGUUGAUUGCAAAUCCUACAGUAUCUGUUGAGGUACGGUGUCCACCUCCAUCCUCUUGGUUCAAGCUCAAUUUUGAUGCUGCAUUGUUUGCCGAUCUUGAUGAGAUUGGGAUGAGAGCAAUAGUUCGGAAUGAAAAAGGGGAGGUGAUGGCAGUUAUAUCCAAUAGAGGCCCUUCUGUAGUUGAUAGCGAGGAAGCGGAAAUCAUGGGUUGAGAGAGAGCUUUGGAAUUUGCAAUUGAUGCAGGUUUCACAGAGCUGUCCAUUGGGUCAUAUUCUGCACUAUAUACAAUGCUUGUUUUAGGGACUUGGAUGGUACAUGGUUGGCUUUGUUAGGCCUAGUGCAAACUCAGUGGCCAAUUCAGUGGACUUGGAUGAAUUGACUUGGUUAGAGGAUUCUCCUCCACCAGCCAUGGAAGCUUUAGUAAUUUGAUUGUACUCAUAUUCAGCAAUAAAUGACAAAUGAGUUUGGCUUCAAAAAAA